UACACAUGCAGUCGAGCGCGUAGCAUACGUCAGCGGCAGACGGGUGAGUAACGCGUGGGAACGUACCUUUUGGUUCGGAACAACCCA
rnacentral:rRNA from 1 species